rnacentral:rRNA from 1 species
GACGAACGCUGGCGGCGUGCUUAACACAUGCAAGUCGAACGGAAAGGCCCUGCUUUGGUGGUGUUCUCGAGUGGCGAACGGGUGAGUAACACGUGAGUAACCUGCCCUUGACUGUGGGAUGACUUCAGGAAACUGGGGCUAAUACCGGAUAGGAGCUCCUGCGGAAGGGGGGGGGUUGGAGAGUUUCGGCGGUUGGGGCUGGACUCGCGGCUUAUCAGCUUGUUGGUGGGGUAGUGGCUUACAAAGGCUUUGAAGGGUAGCCGGCCUGAGAGGGUGAACGGGCACAUUGGGACUGAGAUACGGCCCAGACUCCUACGGGAGGCAGCAGUGGGGAAUAUUGCACAAUGGGCGGAAGCCUGAUGCAGCGACGCCGCGUGCGGGAUGACGGCCUUCGGGUUGUAAACCGCUUUCGCCUGUGACGAAGCGUGAGUGACGGUAACGGGUAAAGAAGCACCGGCUAACUACGUG